rnacentral:rRNA from 1 species
GACGAACGCUGGCGGCGUGCUUAACACAUGCAAGUCGAACGGUAAGGCGCGUACUUGUUGGGGUACACGAGUGGCGACCGGGUGAGUACCCCGUGGGUAACCUGCCCUUAACUUAGGGAUAACCUCGGGAAACUGGGUCUAAUACCGGAUAGGAUCGCAACAUGCGUGUGUGGGGGAUUAAAGUUUCGGUGUGGGAUGGGCUCGGCGCGUAUCAGCUUGUUGGUUGGGUGAUGGAUUAGCAAGGCGUCGACGGGUAGGCGGCCUGAGAGGGGGACCGGGCACAUUGGGACUGAGACACGGCACAGACUCCUACGGGAGGCAGCAGUGGGGAAGAUUGCACAAUGGGCGGAAGCCUGAUGCAGCAACGCCGCGUGGGGGAUGACGGCCUUCGGGUGGUAAACAGCUUUCACCGUGGACGAAGGGUUUCUGACGGUACUUGGAGAAGAAGCACCGGCUAACUACGUG